rnacentral:lncRNA from 1 species
GAGAAAAUGAGAUUAAAGCAAGAUGAACAUAAUUUUGCUCUUACAGUUACUCGUGGAGCUAUGAAGACUAAAGGUAAAUCUAGAAAAGUUAAAAAUAUUCCAUUUAAAAAACAGAGUAGAUGUGGGGAGAAUAACCAAAGUCAUGAUGAAAAAUUACUCUGAGUUGCUACUUUUGUGGCAGGAAAGGUCAUCUAAAAAAUGAAAGUGAAAAAUUCAUCUAUAUGGGAAACUGUCU